GUUUUUUCAAGGACCGUUGCUGUUAGAAGAAUUGCAGCUUCAAUGAAGCCGACCAUCCAUUUUCCUGCUUCACUUCUAUUCGCCUUUACCCAGGCUUGUGAUCUCGUAUACUACUAUUAAUUCUCAUGUUUUACUGGAUUUUAUGGUAUUAUAUAGUUUAGUGCUUACUUUCUGUUUAACGGGCGUGUCAAUAAGUAUGUUUUUAUUUGUUAAUUAAGUUCAAUCAAACAAGUAAGGAGAGGGAGAGAGUGAUGCAUGUGUCUUUAUUCCCAAAAGCAUGUAAACCAGCUAAUGUUAGACAUAACAUAUUUCUGAAACCGUGUUUGGUACGGCCACAUCAUUUUCUAUGAAAAUGUUUUUCACAAAGUAGAAAAUAUGGAUGAGGACAGGUAAUUUGGAUCAUUGAGCUAGAAAUGUUGUAGGGAUUUCCUUGGAAACUCUUAGCUUAAUUAGUGAUUCGUUUCUGGUCUUAGGUUUCCUAAUCUGAUACUAGUAUGGUAUUGUUCAGUUUGUUUCGUUUACUUUGAUAAGGGGAAUAAUAGAGAAACGAGAAGAUGCUGUGCGAAGAGGAAUUUCAGACAACAAGAUUAGAAAAUACAGUAUCACAUUUCAGAGAGAUUGCAUACGUAAUUUACGAUGGUCGGAGCUGUAACGCGAGAUUUUAUGAUUCUAAGGAAGUACGGUGCAAUCUUUCUCAAGAAUAUAAUAUGGAUUUUUCCCUACUCCAGGUAUGUUAAGGCUAUCCCUUCUUUUAUUUGGCAUGAUCCAUACGAUACAACGAAACGAGCAAAUGCACAAUUUUCAUAAAUGACUCUCUUCGUAGAAAUACUAGAGAUGCUUAUGUUCUUGAUUCCCCAUGUGUCAUAUUAUUCUAUCAUUUGUUCAUGUAUCUCAGAAAAAUACGUAAGUUGAAAAAAGUUUACUUCAUGAUAUUAAUCAGAGGUAUAAUGGUCUUAUGACAUUCCGAGAUAUUUUAUUAACGUACUUCUCAUGCAUUGCAUUCAUUUACAUGUGCAUUUACUCAUGACUCAGACGGCCUUAUAUACGCGUAUAUAUGUAUGUAUAUAUAUAUAUAUAUAUAUANNNNNNNNNNNNNNNNNNNNNNNNNUGGGAUAUGGAAAAGGUUACUGCGUUAUAUACGCAUCACUACCUGAUCAGCUGGUAUACGAUGAUGAUGUUGCCCACAUUGGCUGAAAUGAUAUGAUGGGAUGCCCUCAGAGGUUUGAUGAUGUUAUGUACGUACAGACCUAUGCAUUACAUGGCAUUUAUACGUAUACGCAUGACCUUAUAAAUAUUUCAUGAUUUACAAAGCCAUCUAGAUUUACAGGUUGAGUCAUUUACUCCACGUUUUCCUUCAUGUUCUUUAUAUACUUAUGUACAUGCCUUACAUACUCAGUACAUUAUUCGUACUGGCGUCCUUUUGUUGGGGACGCUGCAUUCAUGCCUGCAGGUAUAGACAAUCAGUUUGACGAGCCCUCACAACAGACGAGAUUGGCAUUCAGCAAAGGAUCGGUAAGACUCCACCUCAUUCGGAGUGCAGCCGAAUCUAUGAGUUAUCAUGUCAGAAUUUUGCUAAAGACAUAUGGGCAGGCCGGUACCCUGUCCUAUUUUAUGUUAGUUAAUCACAAAGGCUUUGUAGACAGAGGUUCAUUUUGUACAGUAUGUCAGAGGCCUUGACGGCCUAUAUGUAUUCAUGCUCUAAGAAAAAUGGUUCAGUGAUACAAUGUUAUGCAC
rnacentral:lncRNA from 1 species